ACCAGCAGGAGGAGCUGUGACCUCUACCAGCUGAGCACUCACAUACCAGGGUUCAUUUAGAAAAUGGAUGAAAUAAAAUACACAACAACCGACCAAUCAGCGCUGAGUAUCGCCUCUGGUAUGUUACAGUGCGACAGCAGAGCUCCUCUUCUUCAUAAUAGGGCAGGUUGUCAUGUCAUGUAAAAUUUCUCAGUCUAAUUAGACAUUAGAUCAGUCUGCGAGAGCAUGAGGCAAUUAACAGUGUAGGAGGAUGUAUCUAUGGGCGAUGAGAGAGGUGGAGGACAGGACAUUUAAUUUCUCUUCAGCAGGGUAUUUAAAGUCUCCUCCAGUGAGUGGAUGGGUGAUAUCUCUACUGAGGACUUCUGACAAGGUAAUUGAAAAUCACAAGUCAGCUCUGUCUGAGAAAAUGGACGACAUCAGCCUUUGAAUGUGGAUUUGAACUCAUCCAACACCUGCCCUGUUCACCUGAUCCAGCCCCUCAGAUUACUGCCUCGUCCCCCAGAUGAAAAGGUAGCUCAGGGGUCGCCCUUUUGACAGUGACGAUGAUGUGAUCACUGCUGUGGACCAUUUUCUCAGAGCUGACGUGAUUUUUAAGCAAGGCCUGUGGGAGUGGAACAUCAUAGAACAGGCAUCACAGACCAGUCAGCUGAUCAUGAUGUUUUGACUCCACAAUAGCAUUAAAAGAAAAAUAUGACACAUGUAUUAACAUGUAGACGUGAACAGUUUGGCUGUAAAGUGCAAGUGUUGGAGUGUUAAUUCCUUGGUUGGUAUGAAGGAUAUUUUAAAUAUAUUUGGGGUUUUUGCAAGAGUUACACUAGAAGAGGAUGCCCCCGUUUCUGCUGAAAAGACUGCUAAACGUGCAAAAAUGCACCUUCAAUCACAGGUUAUUGAUUAGCACAAAACAUUCCUUUAAAAAAAACUUCACCCUAACAUUUGUGGUACCUAUAGAUAUGUGAACUCAGAAGUUCAAACCUUCUUUACAUUGAAUCCUGUUUUAUUUCAGAGUAGAAACUUUCAGACUGAAGCUUCUCAUUAGAACCACAAGAUUAAAGUUUAUAUGAAGGCAGAGUUCAGAGUUGGAGCCUCACGAGCUCUGCUGCCAAUCAA